UCAAUAGUGCAUGGGCUUAACGCGUAUCAGUGAGGAUUCGUCCGAGAUCGUGUUUUUGCUAGUUGAAAACUAUCACAUGACCGCUUCAGUUGGUCUCCGGAUCGGCUGGGAAUCUUUGGAAAAAAAUAUGUCUG
rnacentral:snRNA from 1 species